CCGAGCGCGACUCGAGUCUGAAAGCCGCGGGCGUCGGGGACGGGCACCGCCAGGGCACCGGGUGCGCUCAUCCGAACGGCUCUGGUCUCGCCCUGGCAAGAUGAGCCAACAAGUGACCUUGCCGGGAAAGAGACCGAGAUGCACCCGAGAGGGGAGAGUGCAGCCUUGUGCUUUCUGGUGAAGGCAAGAGGACUGUCUCUUGAAACUUCUUCGAUGGCUAACCUCUGUCCGAAGUGAGUCCCUGGCACCUCCAAGAGCCCCCUCCUAGGGGUCCCCGGGGCUGGGUCUGUGCGGCCGGAUCGCCUCCCCGCUCCGCGUUUAACUUCUGACCCCCGGGUCUUGCUCGACACCCGGUGAAGUUUCCCUUCCAUGCCAAGAGUCCGUGACCGGCCACGAGAGGGGCUGGGCAGCUGGGCCUCGGCCCUGCGUCAUCUGCAGGAGCUGCUGACUCCCUGCCGCAGAACCAGGCAGGGGACAGUUGGAGGAAAUAAACGACCCUAGCUCUGGAUUAGUGACAGCAGCCGGAGGGAAUCAUCUUUGUUCUUGAGAUCUGCAGAAAGUAGCCACAAAAUCUGUCACUUGGCCACAAACCUCCAACUGGCCACUCACCAGCACCCAUCUCCUUUACAAACGCCCAGAUCAGAGUCCCAGGAAGGGGACACUUCGGGACAACGGUCGCUGUCACCUUUUAUCGGCUGGUAGUUCAUGGUAAUAAAGUUCUCUCUCUACCACCACGGUGGCUGGGCAGUGCUUGUCUUCCCCCAUUUUGUGCCCUAGCAUUUGUGGCCAGGACUUUGACCCAGGAGAAAUUGAUUUCCAAGCAAAACAAAACAAAAAAGACUUUCAUUUAAACCCAUUUGUGUUUGGGGGGAGGUUUAAUUGUGGAAAUUUGGGGUUUGAUUGAUUUACAGUGACGUGCAAAGCUCUUUUCCCCAGAUGUUGGUACAAACUGUGAAAUGCUAUGAUCACCUGACGCUUAACCAAUGACAUCCGCUGUGAUUGUUUUCUUUUGAGAUUAAAGACUUGGACCUUUUUGCUCACUUGAGGGAUAACGUCAUAAACCAAAGAUGAGCUUUAAAAUGUCCAUCAAAUUAAGAUCUUUCUUGUUUCAGAGAAUUUAUUUAUUGAUACCAGGGAUCAAACUCGGGACCUUGCGCUUUCAAGGCAGGUGACAGAACCACUGAGCUAAAUCCCCAGCUCAGAGAAUUUCUAGUGCUGAUUUUUCUGCCUAAUAAACUAUUUGUAGGUUUGGGAUCAGACAAGACAGGAGAGAAGCCCCUGGAAUUAUUCUCUAUUAAUAAAGUAGCUCUCAUUGUAAUUUGUAAUUAGUAUGUAUUGUAUGUCUGCUCCAGGCAUAGCCCUGCUCUACACAAAGAAAUAAGAACACUGCCUCAGAGUCACCUUCAGUCUAACAUGAAAAAUUUAAUGGGGUGUGGUGGCGCACACCUAUAAUCCAGCACUCAGGAGGCUGAGGCAGGAGGAUUGUCA
ensembl:lncRNA